CCUGAGUGACUGAAAGAGGUGGAGCCAGGAUCCACCCCUUCCCAGACCUCAUUUAAGGGCCAGCAGUGAAAGUAAAGUGACUGUGCUGGAGAUCUCUGCCUGCUGGAAGCCUUCUGAAGGUUAGAAAAUCUUUCUUCCUUUAUUUCUGCAUCCGUGGCUGCUGCAUUUGGACUUGGUCUCUUUUACUGCAGCCUAGGAUUGUGCCACCCUGCUAUUAUUGCAGUUAUUAUUAUAACUCUCCAUCACGUUAUAGCAUUACAUCAUUACAGACCCAAACAGUGAAGAUAUUUCCAGAGAAGUUGCUGUUAUUAGCCAGGAAGAGUCCCAGAAAAAGGCACUGGGACUCCAUAGAGAAAGGAGAAGCAUCGUCUCUACACUCCUACAUCCUUCCUCCACCCUGCAGAGUAGCCCCUUGCCCUAGAGGUGGCGGUGAGGAGCUGCUGCUUUCCACAGCUCCCUGCAAAAAAUCAUAAAACCCAGGGUGGGAUUAGCACAACGGAGGCAGAAGGUCUGCAAGCAGCUCUGUGCUCCUUGAACUGUCUGUCAUCUGUGUGGCAGUUUAGGAUUUACAGUUGCAGUGCUGCAGUGGAAACCCAGCAAGAAUGCAUGACCUCUAGUUCAGCAGAAAAAGAAGUGAAGGUGGAAACUGAUCCCCGUUGGUCCCUUCCAACUCAGGAUAAUCUAUCCUGCUGCUGUCUAGAGGGCUGGGCUCACACUGUCAUCUUAGUGCAAGCAGGUUAAAAGUGUGCUGGAAGCACAGGGAGACAGAGCUCUGAUAAUUUCCAUGCUCUCAGGAGGCACAUUGCUGCUUCUCCUUCUGGUCCUUGUGCUGAUUUUACAGGGACAAUGCAAAGUAGAAAUAAUCUCUAGUUCCACGUAAGAAGCAAAACUCAUGCAAAAUUUUUGCGAGGUGACAGAGUCAUUCAUAAAGCUUUUGCCCACCCGUGAGGGCUCUGCAUCUUCCUGACUGCUAAAAUGGGCAUGGGAAUACAGAUGUCCACCUCCAUUCGCCAAGCAGCUGUGCAGAGAAUUCUGGACAUCAGCCCCCACAACUCACCUUGGAUUCCAGCUGCAUCUUCAGGUCCUGCAGCUGUUCUUGGAGCUGCUGCGUCGUGAUUGACGUCUCUGCACACACAGAAAUGGGAACCAGAUGGUUGGGAGAGGAACACACUGGGAAAAAGAUGCACUGCGAGAACAGUCUUUGGUCCACUGUCCUUGUGCUUGAUACUUAGGAUUGCCCCACACUCUGUGAAGUGCUGGAGUCUAAUCCUCUGGCUCUCUAAUCCAACUCCUGCUCAGAGAAAGACUAUCACCAAAGCCAGAUUCUCUCAUCUAUAUGGCAGCUAAUCCUAAGAAGUUUUUUCCUAAUGCUCAGCUUGAACCUCCAACCCCACUUAAUUAUAUUGUGUUUCUUCACCAUUCUCCACAGUGAAAAUCGGCCAGCUCGUUCCCAGCUGCCAAGUCCUCAUGUUGCUGUCACAAGCUCACACGUUGGAACCACCUCUGUCGCUCCUUCACCAUCCAUCAUUCCUUUCUUCCCUCGCAUGGCUGCCCAGUGCCAAAACCAGGAGCAGCCACUCUACACUCCCACUACUCCCGUCAGCACAAAACCUUGCUCUUGCCAAACAAACAGAGAUGCCCCAAACACCCCUGCAUUUUACCUCCAGCCAGCAGCCCGCUCUCAGCCCUCUUCUCCUGCAGCUGAAGACGCAGCUCUUCCAGCUCUCUUUGCAGCACGUCAUUCUGGUCCCACAGCACCUGAGGCAGAGACAGGCCAUGACGCAGCUGUGAAGCUUCCCAGGACUGGGACAGAAUGUUCCCAGGUUGCAGAGGGAACAAAACGAGGUGAAAAGCACCUGAGCUCUUGGGAAGCACUGCAUGAAACACGUCCCACUGCCUGCUUAGAGCAGAGAGCUCCAAAGGCAGCACAGGAGUUUAUCCAGUCUCACCCCACAGCAAAGAGUCUCACAGAUGAACACCACGCUGAGCAAUGAGCCACUUCCAUGCAUCUGGAUCUGGGAACCCCCUUGUUUCACUUUACAUUCUGAAUCCCACACGGGAUGCAAGAGCGCAUGAGGAAUCCUGUCUCCCCUCCACUUUGAACUGACAUCUAGUUACAUCCUAUACGCUACACUAUCCAGAAAAUGAAUGGGCUGCAUAAGAAUAUGAGCUAUGGAACUUCCACAAAUCCAAACUAACGAAUAUUACUAAGCAGGUCUAGAAAAGAGUACACCUAGUUUGUUUAACCUCCAUUCUAAACAGAAGAGCAGACAGGAGGACAUAGGCUGCCAGCAUUCAGGAUUCAGCACCCAGCUGGGUGCCUCACAUGGCAGGAUGAAGCCAAAGGCAUCUCCAUCCAGCUGCAUUUGCAUCAACAACCCUGGGACAGCUCAGCCCUAGGAAGAAUUACAGCUCCAAGCAUCUUCAGCCCUCUGGUGCCACCUGGAGUACUGCUAUAUUGGAUAGUGUUUCAGCAUGUUUGCCUUUAGCUACAGCUUCAAUAGGAGCUAUCUGCUGAAUCUGUCAAUGGCUUUGCUGCAAAUGCACAGAUUUUAGCAAAUCUCUGAAGAGAUUUGGCAAGUCACCAUCUCUACCUGGUGGUGCUCUACAAUCACUCAUAGCACUUGGAAACACAGACAGUGCAAUAAGUACAGGACACUGCACAAUCAGGAGCCAACACAGAGAACACCCAGCCAUGCAAAACAUGCAAGAGACACACAUUGCUUAGAAACCAUAGAAAGGUGACAGAGGCUGUGCUCACAUCCCAGAGAGCCAAAGCUCUGGGCUGCAGCACAGUGCUGAGAAGGAGGUGCAACACACAGAACACCAAUGCCAGGACCGUGGAUAGGCUUACCUUGACUCUCUGUCACAGCCCAGUAAUUUUGUAGGGGUUGUGAAGGGGGGAACAGAAAAAGAAAGGGAAAAACAAAAGAAGAAUUUGGCUGAUGGUAUGCAUUCCAAAGGAGCACAGCUUUCUCUUCCCAUUCAAGAGAAAAUACCUUACAGCAGAGCCUGGAGUGGUCUGCCUGUAUAUAAGGAACUACAUGAUUCCCACACAAAACAGUCCACGGCUACAGGGUAGCAGGAAGGGUGAAAUUUGCAACCUACCCCCUAUUCCCCUCAACCUGGCAGGGGAACCAACACACAGUUGUGCUCCCACAGCUGUGGGAGCAAGGCAUUAGGUUCCUUUACUAGGGGCAUAGCUGUGUCCUGCCUCCUGCCAAAGGAUGCUGAGCAAGGCAAGAAGGAAAACCACUCCUUCACACUUUGUUCACCACUGCCCCAUUCCUCUGCCCCAGACUGCAGCACCCAACAGAUGUGCAGAUGACAGCUGUAUGCAUCACGACAGCAUUGCUGAAGAGCUGCCCACUGGUACCUGGCAUUGCCGCUCGUAUUCCAGCACAAUCUCUGCAAAGUAUUUGCCAUGGUUCAGGAGCUCUGGGUUGCGGGGCUCCUCCUGGUCCAGCUGCACAAGCACAGGGAAACACUGCUCAUCAAGGAAAUUGUCAUCUCUCCAACUGGAGAGACAGAAGCUCUACAAAAUCACUGGAGUCACAGUCCUAAAGCCCUAGAUUCAGAAGAAAGGUUCCUAUUGAUGCCAGUGGGAUGGGUCAAGUGCAGAAAGAGGGGAAAGAACAUCUUUCUUCUUAAGACAGAGAUACCUAACUGCAGACAGCCUGGCUUCCCCAAACCAGCUACCAAGAACGCUGACUCAUUUAUUUCCCAGAUCCACUUCAUGCUCUUCACUGGAGUGGAAACGUCAGCUACUACUAAUAACAAGAACAAACCCUUUAUUCAAUACCUGUUAAGAUGAAAUUUUUUUGAACAUCUAAUUUUCACUUGGAAAUCACAGAUUUGUAUAGUUUUCUAUACUUGCAAAUUUCCUCCUUUCAAGCUCUGAAAGGCCUAAAUUAAAACAGUAAUUCUUUUUU